rnacentral:rRNA from 1 species
GGUCAAGUAUAGAAAGGGCGCAUAGUGAAUGCCUUGGCAUCCAUAGGUGAUGAAGGACGUGGCAAGCUGCGAUAAGCGCCGGGGAGCGGCAAGCACGCUUUGAUCCGGCGAUGUCCGAAUGGGGAAACCCAAUCUCGGUUAUACGAGAUUAUCCGGGGAUGAAUACAUAGUCCACGGAAGCGAAACCAGGGGAAGUGAAACAUCUCAGUACCCUGAGGAAAAGAAAGCGAAAGCGAUUCCCUCAGUAGUGGCGAGCGAAAGGGGAACAGCCUAAACCAUCGUGUUUACACGGUGGGGUUGCGGGGCCGUGAUGUGGUAGCAGAGAGGAUAGCGGAAGAGUUCUGGAAGGCUCUCCCAUAGAGGGUGAUAGGCCCGUACGCGAAAUCCAAACUGCACCUAACGGUACCCCAAGUAGAGCGGGACACGUGAAACCCUGCUUGAAUCUGGAAGGCCCACCUUCCAAGGCUAAAUACUAAUGGAUGACCGAUAGUGAACAAGUACCGCGAGGGAAAGGUGAAAAGAACCCCUGCUAGGGGAGUGAAAUAGAACCUGAAACUAUGUGCCUACAAGCUAUGGGAGCCUGUCGUAAGACGGGUGACCGUUUGCCUUUUGCAUAAUGAGUCCGCGAGUCACGGUGUGUGGCAAGGUUAAGGCCUUAUGGGCCGGAGCCGUAGCGAAAGCGAGUGCCAAAUGCGCGUUUAGUCGCAUGCCGUGGACCCGAAGCCGUGUGAGCUACCCAUGACCAGGUUGAAGCGAGGGUAACACCUCGUGGAGGACCGAACCCGUGGCCGUUGAAAAGGCUUGGGAUGAGUUGUGGGUUGGAGCGAAAGACUUAUCAAACUCGGUGAUAGCUGGUUCUCCUCGAAAUAACUUUAGGGUUAGCCUGCAGGAUUGCUCGUCGUGGAGGUAGAGCACUAAUUGGACUAGGGUCCUUACCGGGAUUCCGAAGCCAGUUAAACUCCGAAUGCCACGUCAGACACCUGCGGAGAUAGACUGUGGGGGAUAAGCCUCAUAGUCGAGAGGGAAAUAGCCCAGACCGCCAGCUAAGGCCCCCCAAUCCGGUUAAGUGCGUAAGGAUGUGAGAUCGCAAAGACAGCUAGGAUGUUGGCUUAGAGGCAGCCACCAUUUAAACAGUGCGUAACAGCUGACUAGCCAAGUGGUCUCGCGCCGAAAAUGAACGGGACUAAACCGGAUGCCGACGCUGCGGAUGCCAUUCUGAUUCGUCAGAGUGGCGUGGUAGAGGAGCGUUCUCUAUGAGCUGAAGGAGAAGGGUAACCGACUCUCGAUCGUAGAGAAGUGAUUAUGCGGACAUAAGUAACGAUAAACCAGGUGAGAAUCCUGGUCGCCGAAAUCCCAAGGAUUCCUGGGGAAGGUUCGUCCUCCCAGGGUUAGUCGGCCCCUAAGCGGAGGCCAAUUGGCGUACGCGAUGGGAAGCAGGUUCAAUAUUCCUGCACCGUUUGUUUGGCGUUAUCAGCAAUGGAGUGACGCAGCAAGCAGAGUCAGCCAUCGACUGGAAGUGAUGGUCCAAGCCCGUAGGAGGUUUUGACAGGCAAAUCCGUCAGAACACUACUCCGAAAGGUGAUGGGACGUGGAGGGUAACACCAAAGCGGAUUGACUCGGGCUCAACUGCCAAGAAAAGCUCCUAGUCAGUCAAACAAGCGACCGUACCGUAAACCGACACAGGUGGGAUGGUAGAAUAUACCAAGGCGCGCGAGAGAAACCUCGUUAAGGAACUCGGCAAUCUAGCCCCGUAUCUUAGGUAGAAGGGGUCCUCUCCGACGUCAGAGUAAUAUCAAAGCGUUGGAGAGGCGCAGUGAACGGGCUCAAGCGACUGUUUAACAAAAACACAGCACUCUGCGAACUCGAAAGAGGAAGUAUAGGGUGUGACACGUGACCAAUGCGGAAAGGUUAAGGCAAGAGGUUAGCCGCAAGGCGAAGCUUCGACCCGAAGCCCCCGUGAAUGUCGGCCGUAACUAUAACGGUCCUAAGGUAGCGAAAUUCCUUGUCGGGUAAGUUCCGACCUGCACGAAUCGUGUAACGACUUGAGCGCUGUCUCAACGAGGAUCUCGGUGAAAUUGUAGUCCAGAGGAAAGUGUCUGGUACCCGCAGUAGGACGGAAAGACCCUGUGAACCUUUACUGUAAUCUGAUAUGGGGUUCUGGUUCUUCAUAUGUAGCAUAGCUGGGAGGCUGCGAAGCUCUGGCGUCAGCCAGAGUGGAGCCAAUAGUGAAAUACCAGUUUUGGGGCAUCGGAAUUCUAACCGCAUCCGUGAUCCGGAUGCGGGACAGUGUCAGAGGGUCAGUUUGACUGGGGCGGUUUCCUCCAAAAGAGUAACGGAGGAGCGCGAAGGUCCCCUCAACACGGUCGGCAAUCGUGUGUAGAGCGUAUAGGUAUAAGGGGGCUUAACUGCGAGACUUACAAGUCGAGCAGGUGCGAAAGCAGGCCUAAAUGAUCCGGUGGUUGCACGUGGCAGCGCCAUCGCUCAACGGACAAAAGGUACUCCGGGGAUAACAGGCUGAUCGCCGCCAAGAGUCCAUAUCGACGCGGCGGUUUGGCACCUCGAUGUCGGCUCAUCACAUCCUGGGGCUGGAGAAGGUCCCAAGGGUUUGGCUGUUCGCCAAUUAAAGUGGUACGCGAGCUGGGUUCAGAACGUCGUGAGACAGUUCGGUCCUUAUCCACUGUGGGCGUUGGAGAUUUGAGAGGAGCAUUCCUUAGUACGAGAGGACCGGGAAUGACGCACCACUGGUUUUCCGGUUGUCGCGCCAGCGGCAGUGCCGGGUAGCUAUGUGCGGAACGGAUAAGCGCUGAAAGCAUCUAAGCGCCAAGCCUACCUCAAGAUAAGAUCUCCCUAUCGCGCAAGCGGUACUAAAGGCCGGUUGAAGACUACAACCUUGAUAGGCUGGGUGUGUACGCGUAGUGAUACGCUUAGCUAACCAGUACUAAUAGGCCGUGAGGCUUGACCAU